rnacentral:rRNA from 1 species
UCUUCUUGGAAGAGUUGCGAACGGGUGAGUAACGCGUAGGUAACCUGCCUUGUAGCGGGGGAUAACUAUUGGAAACGAUAGCUAAUACCGCAUAACAAUGGGUGACCCAUGUCACUCAUUUGAAAGGGGCAACUGCUCCACUACAAGAUGGACCUGCGUUGUAUUAGCUAGUAGGUGAGGUAACGGCUCACCUAGGCGACGAUACAUAGCCGACCUGAGAGGGUGAUCGGCCACACUGGGACUGAGACACGGCCCAGACUCCUACGGGAGGCAGCAGUAGGGAAUCUUCGGCAAUGGGGGCAACCCUGACCGAGCAACGCCGCGUGAGUGAAGAAGGUUUUCGGAUCGUAAAGCUCUGUUGUAAGUCAAGAACGAGUGUGAGAGUGGAAAGUUCACACUGUGACGGUAGCUUACCAGAAAGGGACGGCUAACUACGUGCCAGCAGCCGCGGUAAUACGUAGGUCCCGAGCGUUGUCCGGAUUUAUUGGGCGUAAAGCGAGCGCAGGCGGUUUGAUAAGUCUGAAGUUAAAGGCUGUGGCUCAACCAUAGUUCGCUUUGGAAACUGUCAAACUUGAGUGCAGAAGGGGAGAGUGGAAUUCCAUGUGUAGCGGUGAAAUGCGUAGAUAUAUGGAGGAACACCGGUGGCGAAAGCG